UUGCAAACCAGAUCACUUGCUCUGCCGCCAGAUGCAGAAGUGAGGGGAACAUGUUUGCUAAAAUAUGAGGUGGUUGAAAUUAAGACACCUUGGAACAUUAUUUCCUUGGUUGCAAUUUGCACCCAACAUCAUAA